UGGGGAAUAUUGGGCAAUGGGCGAAAGCCUGACCCAGCAACGCCGCUUGAGUGAUGAAGGCCUUCGGGUUGUAAAACUCUUUGGACAGGGACGAAGAAAGUGACGGUACCUGUAGAACAAGCCACGGCUAACUACGUGCCAGCAGCCGCGGUAAUACGUAGGGCGCAAGCGUUAUCCGGAAUUAUUGGGCGUAAAGAGCUUGUAGGCGGUUCGUCGCGUCUGGUGUGAAAGCCCAUCGCUUAACGGUGGGUUUGCGCCGGGUACGGGCGGGCUAGAGUGCAGUAGGGGAGACUGGAAUUCCCGGUGUAACGGUGGAAUGUGUAGAUAUCGGGAAGAACACCAAUGGCGAAGGCAGGUCUCUGGGCUGUUACUGACGCUGAGAAGCGAAAGCGUGGGGAGCGAACAGG
rnacentral:rRNA from 1 species